AUGGAUGGAUCAAGUGUUCCCUACGAAGGCUUUGAACUUGAUCAGCCAUUGAUCAACUGCGCCCGGAAGUGCGCGGGGAAGGUUGAGGCCCGACCGCGGCCGCGCUUGGGAAAGCUGCCGACGGUGACGACGGGAAGGAGGAAGGUGGAGACGGGGUGGUUAGAUUCUUUUUUGCGCUUAAUUGGGCCAUCACGUGCAAUUGUGUUAACAGACAUAGUUGACAUUGAAAUCCAACUGAAAGUGAAAGGUCCAACAAUGUCUCAAGAUAAAGCAUUGAUCAGCUAUGUCGCCAAUUAUAGUGGAGGAGGUCUUGGCGUAUCGACCCUUUGCAUUGAUAAUUGUUUGUGUACACUGGAGUUAUGCUUGCAGCAUGUCAAACGAACAGUCCAGGCUACCAUCUUGAGUGUCCAAGUUGUCAAGUGUGGUUCAUGGCCGUUUGAAUAUGGUGGCCGAGUUGCUUGCUCCUCAGCUUCACGGGAAACGGUGGUCACUGAUAGUGGAGUCACUUGUGCUAUUAAUCCCUCAUCUAGCCAAAUUGUAAUGCUUGAAUCAAAAGAUGGAGCAAUGCUGAAAGGUCUUAAUGGUCACAUAUACCUGCCGAGGCAAGUUGUUUCUGUAGAAAUUGAAGGAGUGUUGGACAUUGCCAUAGAAGCCUACACAAAAUCUGGUGAUAUCGGUGCACAGGGUCGUAUUUGUUUCGCGCCCCAGUCUAAAAUUCUACAAUUAUCACUGUACCGCACGUCUCCCACUGUCAACCUUCGCUCCAAAAAAAAACACCCAUCGCUCCUCCCCCCUUGCACGACCCCCACGCGCCCAGCUGCUACUUGCGCUUCCUGCACGUCCCCCACACGCCCAACGCAACCUCCUCACCUCUCCCCCGCUCGCCUCUGGCCUCACUCCCUUCCCUUCAUAAUGCCCCUCCCCGUCGGUGUUCCCGUCGGCUCCCUCCCUCUGCAACAUCACCUUUCGUGCGGCAGCACGAUGUUGCCUUCCCAUGGGCCGCCCCCCACGCUCCUCGACAACCUGGUCACCACCACCCCCGACCCAAAGAAGGAUGGUGGCCUGGUGGGGGUGGGUACACUGCAGUCGACGAACACGGCUCAGAGCAGUCUGCUGACAAUGGGCCAACGCUGGGAGGGAGGUGUCGCACCGCCGCAGGAGAACGGAGCAGAGCACAUGAUAACACGAGAGGGGGGGGGCAACUUACCAAACCAACCGCCAUGGUCACCCUGGAUUGGAUCCACCUUCCUGCACAUGUCGUCGUUACCGUCCUACGCCGCCACUACGCCAGCGCCUCCUUCAGGCACUGCACAGCGGCUGCUCCACCUCGCCAUUGCCUUCACACGGAGCAACCGAUCAGGGUGGAACAAUAGGGUGUUGGAGCACCUCCUCGUCCGCGGCCUGAGUUUAGCCUCCCGCGCGGAUGUACGUUGCCUUCCCUUCCUCUCCUCCGUCAUGGCCUCUGAUCAUGGGGCGAUGGGAGAGAAUUUUGGAGCUUGGUGGUGGGACGUGGAGGAGGCGGCUGUAUUGUCUCGGGAUGAAGGAGAGACAAUUUAUAGAUCUACAACAGCGGUGGAGGGGACAUGA
rnacentral:rRNA from 1 species